rnacentral:lncRNA from 1 species
AGGUCCAUGAGGUUCUGGACCAUGUGGUGAGCUCCAUCUCCACCAAGGAGCAGGAGAUCCAUGAGGUUCUCCAACUUCACCACGUGGUGAGCUCCAAUUCCACCAAGAACCAGGAGGUCCACGAGGUUCUCCACCACGUGCUGAGCUCCAUCUCCACCAAGAACCAGGAGCUCCAUGAGCUUCUCCACCCUCCCCUCGUGCUGAGCUCCAUCUCCACCAGGAACUCCUGGACAGAGAACAUCCAGGGAUUGUCUCCAUCCAUCCCCACCCGGACAAGGAGAAGUCCUCGAGGUCCACCCCGACCUUCUGGCUGUGUCACCGCCCGGUUCCUCUCUGGGGGGUCCCGAGGAACAUCCUGGUCCUGAGGGAUCUCCAUGGGGUUGAGGAGGUCACCUGGACACCAGGGGACCUCAGUGACAAUUGUCCACCCCGGGGAGGAGACCUGGGAGGUGCCCAUGGGAGCGGUGGCCGAUUGUCCAUCCUGGAGGAGCCGAUGUCCCCUCGUGUCCCCGUGUCCAUCCUGUCCCACCACGUUGGCACCACCAGGACCUGUCCUGGAGCCACCGGGGCUGCCCGGCCCUGUUGGAGCUGUCCAGGACCUCCCAUCUGCUCCUGGUUCUCCUGGGGCCAUCCUGGUGUCCAUCAGCUCCUGGGGCCAUCCUGGUGUCCACCAUCAGCUCCUGGAGACAUCUUGGGGUCCACCAUCAACUCCUGAACCCAUCCUGGUGUCCACCAUCAGCUCCUGGAGACAUCUUGGGGUCCAGCAUCUCUUCAUGGUUCUCCUGAACCCAUCCUGGUGUCCAUCACCAACUCCUGGAGACAUCUUGGGGUCCACCAUCAACUCCUGGACCAAUCUUGGUGUCCACCAUCUCCUCCUAGUCCUUCUGAAUCCAUCUUGGUGUCCACCAUCAACUCCUGGAGCCACCUUGGGGUUCAUCAUCUCCUGGUUCUCCUGAACCCAUCCUGGUGUCCAUCAUCUUCUCCUGGUGUCCAUCAUGUUCUCCAGGUCCUCCAAGACCCAACUUUGGGUCCAUCACCUCCUCCUGCUUCUCCUGGGCCCAUCCUGGUGUCCAUCAUCUUCUCCAAAUUCUUCAUAUCUCUCCUUGGUGUCCAUCUCCUCCUUCUGGACCCAUCCUGGUGUCCAUCAUCUUCUCCCAGUCCUUCAUAUCUCUCCUUGGUGUCCAUCUCCUCCUGCUUCUCCAGGACCCAUCCUGGGGUCCAUCAUCUCCUCCAGGUCUCUCCUUGGUGUCCAUCAUCUUCUCCUGCUGGGCCCAUCCUGGUGUCCAUCAUCUUCUCCAAGUCCUUCAUAUCUCUCCUUGGUGUCCAUUUCCUUCUACU